UACAGAGGUCUCAAGCGUUGUUCGGAUUCAUUGGGCGUAAGGGUGCGUAGGCGGCGCGGUAAGUCGGGUGUGAAAUCUUGGAGCUUAACUCCGAAACUGCAUUCGAUACUGCCGUGCUUGAGGACUGGAGAGGAGACUGGAAUUUACGGUGUAGCGGUGGAAAUGCGUAGAUAUCGUAAGGAAGACCAGUGGCGAAGGCGGGUCUCUGGACAGUUCCUGACGCUGAGACACGAAGGCCAGGGGAGCAAACGGG
rnacentral:rRNA from 1 species